GCAUUAUUUUGCAAUUAUUUGCUUUUUCCAACUUUUGUAUUGAUUAUUUGUUGCAUGCUUCGAGCACAUGUUUUGUGCUGUUCUCAGAUUUAUUUCCAUAUUUAUUUAUUUCAUCGAGUUUCAUCUUUUAAGUAUUAACGAAAUCCAACAUAUGCCUCUGUGAGAUGUUAUAAUCAUGGGAGGAAUUGAUCUCUUUAAGAAACUGCAUAGAUAUGCUACUAUUGCUUAUUGUUGUCAAUAGUUUUUGAAUGUAGAAUUAAUUGUUUAGCAUAGAGUCAUGCUACUUCCACAGGAAGAGAGGUGGCCAAUUACAUUAACAAAACAAUUGGCUGUGUAUGUUUAAUUUUGUUAAGGGUUACAAUAUUCAAUGAAUUUUGAUAGGGAUAUCAAACCUUAAACUGCAAAGGAAUAAGAGGAUAUUUGUCUGAAACAUUAUAAUUGAUGCUUUGAUAAUUUUGGAGAGGAUCUUAUUGAGCUAGUAGUUUAUGAUCUAGUGUCUAUCUCAUAGUGUAACAGAUUAGGCAUUUAAACUAACUUCAUCUCCUUUAAAAUACAUUUUUUAAGACCAACUGCUUGUCAUGAAAUAUCUUAUUAUAUUACUUCUUUUCUAUAUGUCUUCUACUUUUUCUAAUGGCACUGAGUGGUCGUGUUUCUUGAAACUACUAACAUACGUCUAAUGCAUAGAAAUGUUUUGCCUGACAUGUUCAUGUUCUUUUGGUUAUUUCCAUGCA
rnacentral:misc_RNA from 1 species